rnacentral:rRNA from 1 species
UGGGGAAUAUUGCACAAUGGGCGCAAGCCUGAUGCAGCCAUGCCGCGUGUGUGAAGAAGGCCUUCGGGUUGUAAAGCACUUUCAGCGAGGAGGAAGGGUAGUGUGUUAAUAGCACAUUGCAUUGACGUUACUCGCAGAAGAAGCACCGGCUAACUCCGUGCCAGCAGCCGCGGUAAUACGGAGGGUGCAAGCGUUAAUCGGAAUUACUGGGCGUAAAGCGCACGCAGGCGGUUUGUUAAGUCAGAUGUGAAAUCCCCGCGCUUAACGUGGGAACUGCAUUUGAAACUGGCAAGCUAGAGUCUUGUAGAGGGGGGUAGAAUUCCAGGUGUAGCGGUGAAAUGCGUAGAGAUCUGGAGGAAUACCAGUGGCGAAGGCGGCCCCCUGGACAAAGACUGACGCUCAGGUGCGAAAGCGUGGGGAGCAAACA